UGGUGCGUGGAAACAAACAUAAAUCAUCUUC
rnacentral:piRNA from 1 species